GACACACAGGGGCUCAGUGUGAGCCUGUCACUGAAGACACUUGAUCUCCUAACUUGCCUUCUGCCAGGGUCCCACCCUGUGCUAUUCUACCUAAUGCCACCCAAGCACCCUGCGCAUCCACCUCUGAGCCCUGACUCUGAGGGUCUUCUCUAGAGCACCUCUGGCCUCCCGUCUCCUGGAGCCUCCCAAGCCCAGAACAGUGAUGCUCAGCCGGCCCCACCUUCAUCUGGGCCACACACGGCCAUCGAGACAUCCCUUCUUCCACAGCAUAACUCCAGAGCACCUUCAGCUGUACCCACGUGUCUUUGGUUUUACACAGCAAAAUGGUAACAGUGUCUGCGCUGGGGAGAGGACCAGAGUUGGGCAGGUGGCCAGUAGAGAGCGCCUUUAGCUUUAUCCGUGACCUCUGCACUGCUUGGCGAGAGUGUGUUCCUGUGAGACUGUAUCUGCAUAAUCAAAACAGACACUUGCAAGGGUUAGAGGCCGGUCAGUUCCUGUUCGGAAGGAUUUCAGAGCCGUGGUUCUCAAACUCUGCACUAGAAUCACCCGAGGAACGUGCAAUGCCCAGACCUCCUGAAUGAGGACCGCGUAUACACGGUUCCUGGAAUUCUGGCAGGAGGCGGCCACCUGUGGAAACGCCCAGUGGGUGCUUGGGGGUUUGCUCCAGCUUGCUCAAGUUGCAUUCAGGAGCAGCCCUGGCAGAGCUGAGCCCGGGCUGGGGGCAUCUGGCCCUGGGACACCUCGACCAGGCCCUGCCUGUUUUACAUCUACCCGGUAGCUGCUACAGCCCUGGGCACCAUGGCGCUGGCCACAGCCUCUGAGCCAGUCUGGCCCAUACCUGUGGAAGGGGCCCAGCACCCCUCCUCGUACCACAGGGGAGGAAGCCCUGCCCAGGCUCCUGCAGUAACAGCGCUCAGUGAAACCACACAGCCCCCUCCCCGGCAGGCUGACCGCGCUCACUCGGGCUGCCACCUUCCUCCUGCCUCAGAUCCUUUACUCGCUGCCCUUCCACUGGGCUCUGUGCUGCCCCCAUGCCCUGUAGGUGCCUGAAAAUGCUACUUUUAGCCUCAGUCCUACAUACCAGCCACUCAAUACCCUUGUCAACACCCACCUCCUUCUCUGGGCUUGCUGUCACCUAAUUUACCUACUCAAAGAGCUUGCUUCAAAGGGGAACUUCUCUCCCCAAAUAAAAUAUAAAAAUCUGGAAAUUAAGGAGCAGUGUCAGGGCAUGAUCUAUUUUGUCUGAGCAAACAGGGCUCCCAUCCCCUGCUUCAACAAGAGUGUCCACUGUCCCCUCUGUUAUGCGUUUCCAGCUGCCAUUUGAAUAAAGGGUUCCUCCACUUAGGGAAAAAAAGCUUUGAAAACUGCAUUCUGAUUCAACGCUGUUAUCUGAAAGACACACUGCACUCCUAUUCUGGUUCAUCGUUCACCUACUGUUCAUUACUCGAUACCCUAGUACGUGCAGGUGCUGGGGAAGGGCCAUCACAGCAACACACAGUCCCUUGCCCCGGGGAGGACCACCUGAGCGCACAGGUGCAGGGCAGGUCUCCAGGACAAGGCUGGCCGCCCCACUUCUCAGGAUUCUGCACACCCUACAAUAGCCUUUCUCAAUCUCAGGUUCCUCAGUAUCUGCUCUGCCCUUCCCACAAGUCCCAGAGUAGUCUCAGGCCAUAGUGAUGGCUCCGAAGGGACAUGGAGAACAGGGAGUGGCUUAGGCAUUCCCUGGGUGUCAGAACCUGGGUCUGGGCCUGGCGUCAGGGGACUCCUGACACCAUAUGCCCUCACCAGGUGAAGGUGGGGAAGGUCCUGGCCCGCCCCCACCCUG